rnacentral:rRNA from 1 species
CUACGGGACGCACCAGUGAGGAAUAUUGCACAAUGGGGGGAACCCUGAUGCAGCAACGCCGCGUGGAGGAUGACGCAUUUCGGUGUGUAAACUCCUUUUAUAUGUCAAGAAAAUGACGGUAGCAUAUGAAUAAGCGCCGGCUAACUCCGUGCCAGCAGCCGCGGUAAUACGGAGGGCGCAAGCGUUACUCGGAAUCACUGGGCGUUAAGGACGCGUAGGCGGGUUGAAAAGUCAGGUGUGAAAGCCUACAGCUUAACUGUAGAACUGCACUUGAAACUCUCAAUCUAGAGUAUGGGAGGGGCAGAUGGAAUUAGUGGUGUAGGGGUAAAAUCCGUAGAUAUCACUAGGAAUACCUAAAGCGAAGGCGAUCUGCUGGAACAUUACUGACGCUAAGGCGUGAAAGCGUGGGGAGCAAACAGGAUUAGAUACCCCGGUAGUC